rnacentral:rRNA from 1 species
GAUGAACGCUGGCGGCGUGCCUAAUACAUGCAAGUCGAGCGAACAGACGCGGCGCUUGCUCCUCUGUCGUUAGCGGCGGACGGGUGAGUAACACGUGGAUCACCUACCUAUAAGACUGGGAUAACUUCGGGAAAGCGGCGCUAAUACCGGAUAAUCUCUUGAUCCGCAUUGUUGAAUGGUGAAUGACGGUUUUGCUGUAUCUAAUCGCUGGAUACGCGCCGCUUUAGCUAGUUGGUAAGGUAACGGCGUAUCAAGGCAACGCUGCGUAGCCGAGCGGAGAGGGUGAGCAGCCACACUGGAACUGUGACACGGUCCAUACGCCUACGGGAGGCAGCAGUAGGGAAUCGUCCGGAAGGGGCGAAAGCCAGACGGAGCAACGCCGCGUGAGGGAGGAGGAUCUUCGGAUCGGAAAUCUCUGUUAUUAGGGAAUAACAAAUGUUUAAGUGACUAGGCACGUCUUGACGGUACCUGAGCAGAGAGCCACGGCUAACUACGUU